UCUUAUUUAAUUCCUCCACCUCGCGUGCUCCCCCCUCCAGCCAGGUGAGCUUCUACCAAACCUUCUCCCCCUCCGCUCUAGCACGCUGCGCCUCCUCUCUGCUUCACCCUGCUCUUGACCGCCAGUCCCUCUCCACCCUGGGCGACAAGACCGAUCACACCCGCGUGGACGCACACCUGAAGCAAGUACUCCCAUGGUCCAGGUGGACUCUCAGUUGCUGCUGGUGGAGGCUUCCCAAGUUCCCAGAGCCCCGGUCCGUGAACUGGGAUGGCAGUUUGGGUAAUCAUGGGACUGCCGUCUCUGCUUGCUGGUUAUUGAACUGCUUCUGCUUCUUGCUGUUUUUCUGAAAGAUUUCAAAGGUAUAGCUUUAUUUUCUUUGAUGUUGGCUUUGGGUGGCUUAUUCUUGUAGCUCUAAUUUCAGAGGUUUGUUCUAAUAGAGGGUCAACAUUGUGUUUACUUGCCUUGCAUAGGCUUGUUGGGUGUCCUUACCCCCUAUACCGUUAUUCUAGCCUCAGCUGCUGCUAGCUGCCGUCUCUCCUAUUUGUCUUACUUAAUGGAGCUGUAUAAUUAUGAUUGUUGAAGUCCAAAAUUUAAGUCUCUUGGCUCUUUUCACGCUUUCUCACAAACAGAUUAAAAAAUAGAUUUUUUUCUUGAAGUUUGGACAAACCAUUGCUUCGUCUGGUGUCUACAAUACAUAUGACUCAUACAGUACUAAUUUACCAGAUCGGAAAAAAUUUAUGUUGAAAAGAAAAAUUUAUAGAUCCAGUGUCACAUUCUGUAAAAAUUUAUGAUACAUGUAUAGGAUGCACUCAAUGUGUACGAGCUUGUCCAACAGAUGUAUUAGAAAUGAUACCCUGGGAUGGAUGUAAAGCCAAGCAAAUUGCUUCCGCGCCGAGAACCGAAGAUUGUGUGGGUUGUAAGAGAUGCGAAUCCGCCUGUCCGACAGAUUUUUUAAGUGUCAGGUGACGAUGGUGUUGAGAUUGGCUUGCCUGACAUUGUUGGUGGCCCAGCUGCUGCAAAGAUUUUCAAUUAAGCAAGCGUUACAUGUUGCAGCAGGUUAUGGAUAAGCUCUCAGUCCCUGCACAAGAGAUGCCCACGUUGAUGGUACUGAUGGUGCGUACAUGGACACCGUUCCUCCAGAGCUCCCACCCCAUGAAGGUCAUCCUGUUCUGCAAUAUAGGACCUUCUAUGGCGAUGACAGUCUCGCCACUGAUGAGGCGCUACAAAGCGCCAGUGCUGCUGUGUUGGCGUAUCUCCAGGCAGUCGAUGGUGAGAGUUAAGCGGUGGGAACUAUUGAUGCAUAUCUGCUCAAUGUCAUUGCGUUCUGAAGCGUGAGAGAAGGAUUUGAUCCUUUGAAGACCAUCAAGAAGAGAAGACGGAACAAUAGCAAAAGUUAUGCGGACCCAAUUUUCCAUUCCCAGAACACUCCCUGCAUUGGAGACACAAAAGUAAUUUGGCUGUGUAAGAAGCUGCAGUUAUAUCAAUAAAAGAUUAAGUGGAACACUCCCUGUAAGAAGCAGCAAAUAUCAUGCUUAUAUAAAAGAUUAAGUCGAACGUUAUAAAAUAUAAAUCUCCCAUGUUUCCACGGCAACAUAUCCCAAUCCGUUUCUACGCUAUGUUGACUACAACUCCUAAUACUAAAGCUAUGGUUCAUA